GAGUAAUGUCUGGGAAACUGCCUGAUGGAGGGGGAUAACUACUGGAAACGGUAGCUAAUACCGCAUAACGUCGCAAGACCAAAGAGGGGGACCUUCGGGCCUCUUGCCAUCAGAUGUGCCCAGAUGGGAUUAGCUAGUAGGUGGGGUAACGGCUCAUCUAGGCGACAAUCCCUAGCUGGUCUGAGAGGAUGACCAGCCACACUGGAACUGAGACACGGUCCAGACUCCUACGGGAGGCAGCAUG
rnacentral:rRNA from 1 species